CAGCAGCCACGGUAAUACAGAGGGUGCAAGCGUUAAUCGGAAUUACUGGGCGUAAAGCGCGCGUAGGUGGUUUGUUAAGUUGGAUGUGAAAUCCCCGGGCUCAACCUGGGAACUGCAUCCAAAACUGGCAAGCUAGAGUAUGGUAGAGGGUGGUGGAAUUUCCUGUGUAGCGGUGAAAUGCGUAGAUAUAGGAAGGAACACCAGUGGCGAAGGCGACCACCUGGACUGAUACUGACACUGAGGUGCGAAAGCGUGGGGAGCAAACAGGAUUAGAUACCCCGGUAGUCCCUGUCUCUUAUAC
rnacentral:rRNA from 1 species